rnacentral:rRNA from 1 species
GAUGAACGCUGGCGGCGUGCCUAAUACAUGCAAGUCGAGCGAACGGACGAGAAGCUUGCUUCUCUGAUGUUAGCGGCGGACGGGUGAGUAACACGUGGAUAACCUACCUAUAAGACUGGGAUAACUUCGGGAGACCGGAGCUAAUACCGGAUGAUAUUUUGAACCGCAUGGUUCAAAAGUGAAAGACGGUCUUGCUGUCACUUAUAGAUGGAUCCGCGCUGCAUUAGCUAGUUGGUAAGGUAACGGCUUACCAAGGCAACGAUGCAUAGCCGACCUGAGAGGGCGAUCGGCCACACUGGAACUGAGACACGGUCCAGACUCCUACGGGAGGCAGCAGUAGGGAAUCUUCCGCAAUGGGCGAAAGCCUGACGGAGCAACGCCGCGUGAGUGAUGAAGGUCUUCGGAUCGUAAAACUCUGUUAUUAGGGAAGAACAUAUGUGUAAGUAACUGUGCACAUCUUGACGGUACCUAAUCAGAAAGCCACGGCUAACUACGUG